rnacentral:tRNA from 1 species
UUCCCUGGCAGUCCAGUGGUUAGAACUUGGUGCUUUCACUGCCAUAGCCCAGGUUCAACCCCUGACUGGGAAA